AUGGCAAAUUCCGUGAAACUAAUUAAUUUUUCUUCUGGCUUGAUUGAACCUCGCCUCAUAGAGUGGGAAAUAUAUAUGCGUUGACGCACAGAACUCCAGGAUAACCAUGGUAGGCUUAUGGCCGGAUUUCUGCUACCAUUUGAGACUAUUUAUCAUUCUUUAAUUUUGCGGAGAAGAAUGCAACCCUGGUUUACAGCUAAUUGGAGCAAGUUGGAUCAAGUCAGGGUCGAAUUCUCUCUUAGCUGUGCCUCAAGGAUAUACUUGACUGAAUAAAUCCUCCAGCGCCUCCGUCCACACUAUCCUGCCGAAAUCCUGCGAAUUUUGUGGAGGCAAAAAAUGGUGGAGACUGCCCAUUCUUUUGGCCCAUGAAAAAAACUUGAGUCUAGGAAUACAACCUCGUUGCCGAUUUUGGAGCCCAGGUUGGUGAAGACUUGGACUCUUUGGAUCUUAUCGCCACGAUACAGAUCUGUACUUUGCUAGUGGGUCCUUAGAAGAAUGGUGAGGCACCAAGUCAUUUCCCCAAGCCUGGAGGCCAGAGAGAUGUUGUCUCGAUAUAAGUUGGGAAACCCUGCUCAAGUCUAGCGUGGAUUCCCAGGGCUGGCUUCUCCACUAUCCAGCCACCAGCACUCGCUGUAGCCAAUCCAGUGGACGAGGGAGGAAACAAGAUGCACACUCAUAGACACUCAGACACCACGUUUUUCCAGGGGUGAAGGAUGUGGAUCUGCAACGGCCUCAACCUUUCAGUGCUCCGAUGCGCGAUACUACUCGAUCCAUCUUCCUCUUCACCUGCCUACCUGGACAAAAGCCGACCAGUCUCCCACAUAUGGCCUGAUCAUCUUCUUGUGGUUUUUUACUUUUUUGCUUCUUUGGUAUUGUAGGACGCACCCCUCAGCCAUGUGGAAUGCAACAAUUCCACGAUUAUAUAUUUUGUAUGUAAUGGAGAUGCAUACACUAUAUCUAUAAAAGAUUAGCGCCCUCAUCCCCCACCUCCAGGUAUCUUGGGUUUCAUCAUUCUCAUUGCUACGACUGAGGUUUUGUUCUCCCAUGAUGGGUCCUCUCAUACCUUUCCAGAGAAAAAAAGCGCCCGACGAGUAGCGACAAACGGUGGGUUGAGUUGUCCACUCAGAGCCCUCAUUCUUCCCGCGUUUUCCUAUCAGAUCGGCCACUGACUGAUUCUAACGUCUCGCAUUUCCCCGUCUGGUGCUUGAGCUGGGUCCCAUCUUCCUUGAUAUACCUAGGAUCAACGUGAAAUUAACUCCGACACGAAGGCUGUGUUGGUCAAUAAUUGCCAAACAUCUUCGUUUGAUCUCCAGUCAUGGAAAUAUCGAUCAUGGUUGGAGAAGCCAUGUGGCGACGUCUUUUGGGAACUAUCCAGAUAACCCUGCUUCUCAUUUUCUUUAUUUUCUUCGUUAUUCAGCUGCACUUGCGGAGAGGGACGAGAUCCACAAAUAUCCUGAAAAAGCCAAUUUUCUCUGGACGAAAAUAGUAUGAAACAUCGAUAUUUAAUCAAGGACUUUGCAAGGAACUAAACUAAACAGAAACGUUCAAAUCAACCUACAACACCGGGUAACAUCUAGGGUUUUUCUUAACCCCUAGAUCUUCGCUGUGACCCUCUCUGGUUUUUGUCUUUUUAGCCCUUUGCACCUUCGCAACUUUCCCACAAAGACGGAACAUGGUGGCUAAGAUUUUGAUUGUCUUUUUCAAAAAAGAAAGAUUAACUUCUUUUCGUCAUUCGUUAUUGUUCGAGUUCUAGCUGCUAGAUACGGAUCGUGUUUAUGCGGCCUACACUAUCUAUACUUUUUUUGAAUAUUAUAUCAUGUGCUGUAUAUGUGCAUUAUCUCGCUCUCUUCUCGAUAUUCCUCGUAUCUAUCCACUGGAACAUCUUCGGACAAAUAUAAGCUUGAUUGCACUCUUACACGGG
rnacentral:sRNA from 2 species